rfam:Schistosoma rodhaini strain Burundi genome assembly, scaffold: SROB_scaffold0014663
AUCCAGCAGUCCUAAAUAGGACGAAACGCGUGUCCUGGAU